rnacentral:piRNA from 1 species
GGACAAGGCAGGGCUGAGUUGAAGAUGAU